AUUGAACGCUGGCGGCAGGCUUAAUACAUGCAAGUCGAGGGGUAGCAAGAUUGUAGCAAUACAAUUGUUGACGACCGGCAAACGGGUGCGGAACACGUACACAACCUUCCUACAAGUGGGGAAUAGCCCAGAGAAAUUUGGAUUAAUACCCCGUAACAUAGCGAUGUGGCAUCACAUUGCUAUUAUAGCUUCGGCGCUUGUUGAUGGGUGUGCGGCUGAUUAGAUAGUUGGCGGGGUAACGGCCCACCAAGUCUACGAUCAGUAGCUGAUGUGAGAGCAUGAUCAGCCACACGGGCACUGAGACACGGGCCCGACUCCUACGGGAGGCAGCAGUAAGGAAUAUUGGACAAUGGACGAAAGUCUGAUCCAGCCAUGCCGCGUGAAGGAUUAAGGUCCUCUGGAUUGUAAACUUCUUUUAUAAGGGACGAAAAAAGGUCUUUCUAGAUCGUCUGACGGUACCUUAUGAAUAAGCACCGGCUAACUCCGUGCCAGCAGCCGCCGUAACAC
rnacentral:rRNA from 1 species